rnacentral:rRNA from 1 species
GCCAAUUACGUGCCAGCAGCCGCGGUAACACGUAUGGGACGAGCGUUGUUCGGAAUCAUUGGGCGUAAAGGGCGCGUAGGCGGCGAGGUAAGCCUGGUGUGAAAGACCGCAGCUUAACUGCGGGAGCGCGCUGGGAACUGCUUUGCUUGAGUUCAGGAGGGGGAGCUGGAAUUCCAGGUGUAGGGGUGAAAUCUGUAGAUAUCUGGAAGAACACCGGCGGCGAAGGCGAGCUCCUGGCCAUGAACUGACGCUGAGGCGCGAAAGCGUGGGGAGCGAACAGGAUUAGAUACCCUGGUAGUCCACGCUGUAAACGAUGUGCACUAGGUGUUGGGCCACGAAGGUUCAGUGCCGGAGUUAACGCGUUAAGUGCACCGCCUGGGGAGUAUGCUCGCAAGGGUGAAACUCAAAGGAAUUGACGGGGGCCCGCACAAGCGGUGGAGCAUGUGGUUUAAUUCGAUGAUACGCGAGGAACCUUACCAGGGUUUGACAUAUGCCGGAAUGUGCAGGAGACUGCGCAGCCCUUCGGGGCCGGUAUACAGGUGCUGCAUGGCCGUCGUCAGCUCGUGCCGUGAGGUGUUGGGUUAAGUCCCGCAACGAGCGCAACCCCUACCGUCUGUUGCCAGCAUUUAGUUGGGGACUCAGGCGGAACUGCCGGUGACAAACCGGAGGAAGGUGGGGACGACGUCAGGUCAUCAUGGCCCUUAUAUCCUGGGCUACACACGUGCUACAAUGGCCGGUACAGAGCGAAGCAACACCGCGAGGUAGAGCAAAUCGCAGAAAGCCGGUCUCAGUUCGGAUUGGAGUCUGAAACCCGACUCCAUGAAGUUGGAAUCGCUAGUAAUCGCGCAUCAGCAUGGCGCGGUGAUACGUUCCCGGGCCCUUGUACACACCGCCCGUCACACCACCCGAGUUGGGGGUACCCGAAGUCGUUUGCCUAACCUGCAAAGGGGGGCGGCGCCG